GUUUAAUGCUUCUGUCAGGCAAUAAUGUUUUUCAAUUUUGACAUAUCUGCACAACUUAUCUUGGUUCAUAGCAGCUGUUGUUGAUAGGGUUGCAAUUCAGCCUAGUUAGGGCCCUAACAUAUCCUAGUGUGAGUUUUAGCCAGUGCUAGCCCAAGCUUAAUCUGCAGUUAUGCAGCUGUCUUGCACUUGGUUUAAGUUGUGAAAAAUUGGUUAGGUCAAGUUUGCUUGACUACCAAGAAAAUAAAAUAUAAUCUUAAAUAUUUCUGCAAUGUUAGAAUUUACUAUUAACUCAAUAAGAGUGUGAUGCAUAUUG
rnacentral:misc_RNA from 1 species